UGGGGAAUCUUGCGCAAUGGGCGAAAGCCUGACGCAGCAACGCCGCGUGAGCGAUGAAGGCCUUCGGGUCGUAAAGCUCUGUCAAGUGGGAAGAACACAAUGACGGUACCACUAGAGGAAGCCCCGGCUAACUUCGUGCCAGCAGCCGCGGUAAUACGAAGGGGGCAAGCGUUGUUCGGAAUUAUUGGGCGUAAAGCGUAUGUAGGUGGUCUUUCAAGUCAGACGUGUAAGCCCUCGGCUCAACCGAGGAAUUGCGUUUGAAACUGAUUGACUUGAGUGUAGGAGAGGAAAGCGGAAUUCCCAGUGUAGCGGUGAAAUGCGUUGAUAUUGGGAAGAACACCGGUGGCGAAGGCGGCUUUCUGGCCUGCUACUGACACUGAGAUACGAAAGCCAGGGGAGCAAAGGGG
rnacentral:rRNA from 1 species